GAUGAAGAACGCAGCGAAAUGCGAUACGUAAUGUGAAUUGCAAAUUCAGUGAAUCAUCGAGUCUUUGAACGCACAUUGCGCCCGCCAGUAUUCUGGCGGGCAUGCCUGUUCGAGCGUCAUUUCAACCCUCAAGCCCAGCUUGGUGUUGGGGAUCGGCACAGGCGCCCUCGGGCGCCCGCCGUCCCCUAAAUCUAGUGGCGGUCCCGCUGCAGCCUCCUCUGCGUAGUAGUUUUCUCCUCGCAAGGGCAGCUCGGUGGCGACCUCGCCGUAAAACCCCCAACUUCUGAAAGGUUGACCUCGAAUCAGGUAGGAAUACCCGCUGAACUUAAGCAUAUCAAUAAGCGGAGGA
rnacentral:misc_RNA from 1 species